rnacentral:rRNA from 1 species
GACGAACGCUGGCGGCGUGCCUAAUACAUGCAAGUCGAACGCACAGUUUAUACCGUAGCUUGCUCCACCAUAAACUGUGAGUUGCGAACGGGUGAGUAACGCGUAGGUAACCUGCCUGGUAGCGGGGGAUAACUAUUGGAAACGAUAGCUAAUACCGCAUAAUAUUGAUUAUUGCAUGAUAAUUGAUUGAAAGAUGCUAUUGCAUCACUACCAGAUGGACCUGCGUUGUAUUAGCUAGUAGGUGAGGUAACGGCUCACCUAGGCGACGAUACAUAGCCGACCUGAGAGGGUGAUCGGCCACACUGGGACUGAGACACGGCCCAGACUCCUACGGGAGGCAGCAGUAGGGAAUCUUCGGCAAUGGACGAAAGUCUGACCGAGCAACGCCGCGUGAGUGAAGAAGGUUUUCGGAUCGUAAAGCUCUGUUGUAAGAGAAGAACGGGUGUGAGAGUGGAAAGUUCACACUGUGACGGUAUCUGACCAGAAAGGGACGGCUAACUACGUG